AACACGUGAGUAACCUGCCCUUGACUCUGGGAUAAGCCUGGGAAACUGGGUCUAAUACCGGAUACGACCAUCUGGCGCAUGUCAUGGUGGUGGAAAGCUUUUGUGGUUUUGGAUGGACUCGCGGCCUAUCAGCUUGUUGGUGGGGUAAUGGCCUACCAAGGCGACGACGGGUAGCCGGCCUGAGAGGGUGACCGGCCACACUGGGACUGAGACACGGCCCAGACUCCUACGGGAGGCAGCAGUGGGGAAUAUUGCACAAUGGGCGAAAGCCUGAUGCAGCGACGCCGCGUGAGGGAUGACGGCCUUCGGGUUGUAAACCUCUUUCAGUAGGGAAGAAGCGAAAGUGACGGUACCUGCAGAAGAAGCGCCGGCUAACAACGUGCCAGCAGCCGCGGUAAUACGUAGGGCGCAAGCGUUAUCCGGAAUUAUUGGGCGUAAAGAGCUCGUAGGCGGUUUGUCGCGUCUGCCGUGAAAGUCCGAGGCUCAACCUCGGAUCUGCGGUGGGUACGGGCAGACUAGAGUGAUGUAGGGGAGACUGGAAUUCCUGGUGUAGCGGUGAAAUGCGCAGAUAUCAGGAGG
rnacentral:rRNA from 1 species